rnacentral:rRNA from 1 species
CAGCCAUGCCGCGUGUGUGAAGAAGGCCUUUAGGUUGUAAAGCACUUUAAGCGAGGAGGAGGCUACCUCUAGUUAAUACCUAGAGAUAGUGGACGUUACUCGCAGAAUAAGCACCGGCUAACUCUGUGCCAGCAGCCGCGGUAAUACAGAGGGUGCAAGCGUUAAUCGGAUUUACUGGGCGUAAAGCGCGCGUAGGUGGCCAAUUAAGUCAAAUGUGAAAUCCCCGAGCUUAACUUGGGAAUUGCAUUCGAUACUGGUUGGCUAGAGUAUGGGAGAGGAUGGUAGAAUUCCAGGUGUAGCGGUGAAAUGCGUAGAGAUCUGGAGGAAUACCGAUGGCGAAGGCAGCCAUCUGGCCUAAUACUGACACUGAGGUGCGAAAGCAUGGGGAGCAAACAGGAUUAGAUACCCUGGUAGUCCAUGCCGUAAACGAUGUCUACUAGCCGUUGGGGCCUUUGAGGCUUUAGUGGCGCAGCUAACGCGAUAAGUAGACCGCCUGGGGAGUACGGUCGCA